rnacentral:rRNA from 1 species
AUUGAACGCUGGCGGCAUGCCUUACACAUGCAAGUCGAACGGCAGCACGGGUGCUUGCACCUGGUGGCGAGUGGCGAACGGGUGAGUAAUACAUCGGAACAUGUCCUGUAGUGGGGGAUAGCCCGGCGAAAGCCGGAUUAAUACCGCAUACGAUCUACGGAUGAAAGCGGGGGACCUUCGGGCCUCGCGCUAUAGGGUUGGCCGAUGGCUGCUUAGCUAGUUGGUGGGGUAAAGGCCUACCAAGGCGACGAUCAGUAGCUGGUCUGAGAGGACGACCAGCCACACUGGGACUGAGACACGGCCCAGACGCCUACGGGAGGCAGCAGUGGGGAAUUUUGGACAAUGGGCGAAAGCCUGAUCCAGCAAUGCCGCGUGUGUGAAGAAGGCCUUCGGGUUGUAAAGCACUUUUGUCCGGAAAGAAAUCCUUGGCCCUAAUACGGUCGGGGGAUGACGGUACCGGAAGAAUAAGCACCGGCUAACUACGC